CUAUUUUGAUAGUUUUUAUUUCCCUUCUCUUUUGGUUUAUUGUUUGCCUAUGUUGCUGUUAUUUGGUAAUUUUGUUGAGUAUCUGGUUUGUUGUGGUGGGGAAAUGCAAGCAUUGAUUUUGUUAGGAUAUACCUCAACAAGAACGCCUCGAACAGAGACGCAAUACACACCCAAACAAUUUUGGAAUCACAGAAUAACAUGGUUCACUCUUACAGAGCUAUUCCACGAUGCAACGACGACGUCUAGAUCUUUUAUAUUGCAAAAGAAUUAGUUCAAAGAGAACACAUUCUCUUGAUCAAGAUACACUCUAAGAAUUCUCAACCCUCUCCUUGAUAUUAAGAAAAAACUCUCUAUUUUUCCUUUCUCUCACUCUUUUAUAAGAGGAGUUAUUUCUGGAAUGAGUUUUUCUGAAGAGUUUUGGUCCUAUUUAUAAUAUUUGGGAAAUACUAUGCACUAAUAAAAUAUUAUCCGUGGUAGAACCCGCCAUUCUAUUAAUUUUAAACUCCUCGGCUUUUGGUGCCGAAAUCUUUAAUUUUGAUUUGUGGGGCCCGUGCACUUUUCAAAAUCAAAUAUUUUGACAACAACCCUUCAACAAUGACGAAGAAUGGGACUUGGGAGCUCGUAAAGCUUCCAAGAGAGCGAAAGGCUCUUCACAAUCGGUGGAUUUAUCGGGUCAAGGAUGAAGUCGAUGGAUGGAGAUGUUACAAGGUGAGGUUUGUAGUGAAGGGCUAUGAGCAGAAAGCAGAGAUAGACUAUUCUGACGUUUUCGCUCCCUUCAUCAAGUUGACCAUAAUCCGGACUGUGUUGAGCAUUAUGGCAGUUCGAGAUCUUCAUCUAGAGCAGAUGGAGACGAUAUUUCUUCAUGGAGAUUUGGAGAAAGAGAUCUAUAUGCAUCAAUCAGUGGGCUUCGAGGAACGAGGCAAGGAGGGCCUCGUGUGUCUCCUGCGUAAGAACUUGUAUGGCCUGAAGCAAGCUCUGCGAUAGUGGUACAUAAAGUUUGAGAACUUUAUGGAGGAGAACGGUUUUCUCAAAUACGACACAGACCACUGCUGCUUCAUCAAGAGGUAUAGCGAACCCUAUGUGAUACUCUUGAUUUAUGUUGAUGACAUGUUGAUUGUUGGGCCCGACUUGGCCCGUAUUAAGAAACUCAAGGGGCGUCUCUCCGAGUGCUUCGAGAUGAAAGAUCUAGAUCCAGCAAACUAGAUUCUUGGGAUGAGGAUCAUCAGAGACAGAUCAGCAUGGAGGCUGAGGUUGUCUCAGAAGGCUUAUAUUGAGAAGAUUCUUGAAAAGUUUGGCAUGGAAAAAGCUAAACCGGUGAGCUCGUCAUUUGUAAGCCAUUUCAAGCUAUCAAAAAUCUAAGUACCAGAGACUGCUGAAGAUCAUGAGUUUAUAGCCAACAUACCAUACGCAUCUGCCGUCGGGAGUUUGAUGUAUGUGAUGGUAUGUACGAGGUCAGAUAUUGCACAAUGAGUGGGAGUUGUGAGCCGCUUCAUGAGCAAUCCAGGGAAGCAACACUGGGAUGCGAUCAAGUGGUUUCUACGCUACUUGAGGUGCUCGUCCGACCGUUAUCUUGAGUAUGACAGGACAAAUUUGCAGCUAGAAAGCUUUUGUGAUGCAGACUACGUCUGGGACAUAGACUCAAGAAGGAGCACAAGCGGCUACAUCUUCAUCUUGAGUGGUUGAGCGAUAAGUUGGAGAUCAAAGUUACAGGAUAUUGUGGCUAUGUCAACAACCGAAGCCGAGUACUUGUCUGCAGCGGAGACAACAAAGAAAUUGUUAUGGUUGAAAGCUUUUCUUCUCGAGCUUAGGGUAAGUUUUGAGAAAUACUUCAUCCACUACGACAGUCAGAGUGUCAUUCACUUGUCAAAGAACAACGCAUUCUAUGUUCGGACCAAGCAUGUUGACGUGAAGCAUCAUAUCAUACGGAGAUGGCAAAACAGGAACGAGUUCAAGUUUAUGAAGAUUGAUACGAGUUAUAAUCUAACCGAUAUGUUGACCAAGCCAGUUUCGCUCGAGAAGGUGAGGCUGUAUGCAACCUCAUAUGGUCUCCGUUGAGAACGUUGAAGGCUGUGCAAGACGCCAAAGAUACAAGACAUCCGGAUGAUGCAACCAAGAAUGGUGUGAAGAUAUGAUUGAUACUCAAUAAAAUCUUCAGGUGGGUGAUUGUUGAAAGGGCUGCUGUCGAAAUGUUUGAUUUUGAAAAAGUGGGCGGGCUCUACAAAUCAAAAUAAAAAAUUUCGGCAUCGAAAGCUGAGGAGUUUGAAAUUAAUAGGAUGUUGGAUCCCACCACUAAUAAUAUUUUAUUAGUGCAUAGUGUUUCUCAAACACUACAAAUAUGGUCAUAGUGUUUCUCAAACACUAUAAAUAUGGUCAAAACUCUUCAAGAAAAACUCAUCCUAGAAACAACUACUCUUAUAGAAGAGUAAGAAGGGAAAAUAGAAAUUUUUUUCUUAAUAUCAAAGAGUUUAUGAGAAUUCUUAGAGUGUAUCUUGAUUAAGAGAAUGUGUUCUCUUUGAUCUAAUUCUUUAGUAAUAUAAAAAACUGGGCAUCGUCGUUGCAUCGUGGAGUAGCUCCGUAAGAAUGAACCACAUUAUAUUUGUGAGUACUGAGAUUGAAUUUGUGUCUUUAUUUUGUGAUUGCAAAAUCAUUUGGGUGUGUAUUGCGUCUCCGUUCGAGGCGUUCUUGUUGACGUAUAUCCUAACAGAUUUGUUGGCUACCUACAUUGAGUAACUGGAGAUUUUGAUAAUUUAUGUUUUGGAAUUUCAUUUAUUGAGGGAACCCAAGUCACAAAAUGCUAGGUCUUGGCUUUGAGUAUAGUUUAGCUCUAACACGUAAGAAAUUGUUAAGUAUAAACUCAUUACAUGGUAUAAUGUAUGAUUAAGGAUGUGAGAUACCUAAGAAUGGCAUAACACCCUCCCAAAUGGGCCUUUGAGUAUAGUUUAGCUCUCACACAUAAGAAAUUGUUAAGUAUAAACUCAUUACAUGGUAUAAUGUAUGAUUAAGGAUGUGAGAUACCUAAGAAUGGCAUAACAUCCUCCCAAAUGGGCCAUGGCUAAUACAUUAGCGUGUGCAAGAAUGUGAUUGUGUUAAGACUUUCCAGCUAAGAGGUCCUAAGCAACAUCUUACAGAUUGAGAUACAGUUUGAUGAGUUUCAUUGAUUGUUGAAAUUUUUUGUUGUUCAUAUGGCAUGCUGCGAAUGGGGAAUUUGUUUCGUGUGAACCUUUUUAACAAAUGAUGAAGGCUUUUGUGAGCUCAAGUAUAGCCACUUUGUCUUUAGCUAGAAGGUGAAACAUGAGUGUCACUAGGUCGAUUAUAAAAUUUCUAUGUUAUGUGCAAUAUUGGAUAUUGUUGCAUAUGCUCAGCAAGCGAGGGUUACUUGGCCAUGGAGAUCUUAAAUAAUAUAUUCUUCCAUCUUCUGGACCUUUGUGAUCAACAUGUUUAACAUCAAUCAUGCGUAUGCUCAGAAAGCAAAGAUACUGACUGUAUGCUUAUUGGCUGAAGUUGGAAAAGGAAGGGGUUCUCGGUGGUACCCUUAUCUGGUUGAAUUGCCUCGCUGUUAUCACACACUAGCUAAUUUCUUGCGGUUUGAAACACAAGCUCUGCAAGUUGAAGAGGCCAUUUGGGUUUCAGAAAAAGCUGUCUUAACAUCUAAGUUGGAUUGGGAAAUAGCCACAGUUGUUAUGAGAGAAUUAGAUCUCAAAUCACAACUUUUAACACUUAGGUCAUGGCUUUGGGCCUCGGCAACUAUUACUUCUCGCACAUUGCAUAUACCAUGGGAUGAGGCUGGUUGCUUAUGCCCUGUUGGUGACUUGUUUAAUUAUGCUGCACCUGAUGAGGAAAUUUACUCUGAAGAUGAUACAUCCUUAAAAUGCAAUGGCACCAUGGAGCAACCAGAUGCUGAGCUGCUUGAGUGUUAUUCUCAGAGGUUAACAGACGGUGGAUACGAGGACGAUACUGCUUCAUAUUGCUUUUAUGCUAGAGAGAAUUACGAAAAGGGAAAGCAGGUUCUUUUGAGUUAUGGAACAUAUACUAAUUUGGAGCUUUUGGAGCAUUAUGGAUUUAUUUUGGAUGUUAACCCAAAUGAGAAGGCCUUCAUUCGACUGGAUAUUGAUAGCCAGAAAUUUAGCUCUUGGCCUAAAGAGUUUCUAUACAUUCAUCCUGAUGGAAGCCCUUCUUUUGCCUUACUCUGCACUUUACGCUUAUGGGCAACACCAGCAAAACUAAGAAGAUCAGUUGGGCAUCGAGCUUACUCGGGAUCCUUGCUUUCUGCUGAAAAUGAGUUAUUUAUCAUGAAAUGGUUGGCAAAUCACUGUCAAAAUAUUUUGGGACAACUGCCUACUACAUUGGAGAAUGAUGAGUUACUAGUGGUCAUCAUAGAUAAAAUGCUAGACUAUUCAUCUUAUCAGAAGUGCAUUGACUUGCUAUCCUCUGAUCGAGAGCUCAACAAGUUCUUCCAAAAUUAUGGCUUACUAAAGGAAGGGACUGCUGAUUAUUCAUUAUCACCAAAGGUGAAGAAGUCAUUGGAGAGAUGGAGAUUGACAGUGCAGUGGAGAUGCAACCACAAGAAAAUCCUCGUUAAUUGUGUUUCCUAUUGCAAUUCUGUGGUUGACAGAGUCUCGUCUGACCGUGAUUUCUCUAAGAGAAUGGGUUACAUAUGAAACAGUAGCAUUAUUUUUGCGGUGGUCCUCCUUUUCUACCUUCUGGGGACAUUUUGGACAUCCGUUCCAGCAUCCGGCUCCCGGUUUUCUUUCUGAAAGGAUGCUCUCUCUUUCUUGAGGGAUUUGCAAUUGGAAAAAAAAAACAAUAAUGAUGACGAGGGGUUUAGUAUUCUACAGAGCCAGCUGCUCAAUGCUAUCCUUCUCAUUCAGCCAGUGAUCAAUGAAUAUGGUUAUACCUUCAAAAAUUGGUGAAUAAAUAUAUUCCAUGGGAACAGAGUGCCUUUAGAACAAUUAAUGCAUGCUGUUCACUCCUCCCUGCAAGAUUGGAGUAGCAAAAGCUUGCUGUUUUUUGCUGGCUUCUUAUUGAUUCUUCUUCCCCAUUUCUCUGGAAAUCCAGGAGAAUGAUCGGCAACAGGUUUUUUUUCUACUACUUAGAAUUCUUUAUGAGCUUUACUUAAAACGACAACAUUAUCAAUUGUGAGAGUUUGUUGUGAAGGGAUAGAGUUUCGUUGCUGUACAUCUUUUAUUUUUCAUUCUAACCUCUAAUUGGCCUUAUAUAUUAUAGUAAGAAUUUGGAAUUCCGUAAGCGCGGGCAUGCCGUGAUUUAAAAUCACACACACACACUAACGCGCAUACUACAUACAUAGACACAAAAUCAUUGGUGUCUCUCCACGGUAGUGGCUGGUGUGUCACUGGUUAGCGUGCGUCUGUGCUCGAUGGUUUUCAUGCAUAUACAAUUAAGUAAGAUUUGCUCUCGCUGCUUCUGAAAAUUUAUGCUAUUAAUUGAUCAAUACAAUCCAAAUUGAGAUGUGACUAGGCACCUAGAGUAUAUCAAUAUGUUUUAUCAUGAAACAUCUGGUUCAAACUUCAAAAGCAUCCGCACCUGCUUGAGUUUCGACUCAUGUUCCUUGUUCUCUAAGUCUAAAUUGCUACUAAUUGUGCAGUUAUGGUAUCACUUUACAUGUUCGGAAGGCAGUUCUAUGAAGCCCAAUAUUAUUUUACAUGCUGAAGAUAAAUGCAGUACAUAUUACCUGUUUCUAAAAGAUUAAAAAAGCAUUUGAUAUUAAAAUUUGCUUCAUCACUUACAGUUAUGAACAGAUAUAUCAGUCUUUACGAUGUUAUCUACCACAUUAACCAUCUCAUACUCAAAUAACAUACAAUUGUUUGGUUUCAUUUGGUGUCCUUAUUUAUUUAUGCCUGAUGAGUAAAUCUCGUGAAUAAUUGUCGUGCUACUCCUAAAAUAUCAUCACAGCAUUUUCCCAGCAUGAGUUUUGUCUAUGACCGUGCUAAUUAGUUUUCGCCCCUAAUAUCUGCUAGGAAUGGGGAAACUAUUUCACGAACAACGUGAUGAGAGUCCAUUCAACUUCAAAGCAGUAUGUAAUGUUGGUUAUACCUUAAAUAUUAAUGGUGUAAUCUAGGGCAGCAAGAAAUGUCUUAUGGGUUGCUUCUUACUUCUUCAUACUUAAAUGCCAUGAAUUAUUUACAUCCCAUCAUCAAGAGAUUUGUCUCUUUACCUUAUUUAUGCUACUGGGUUUAAGCCCUCAAUUUCUUCCCAAAAUUAGAUUGCGGUAUCUUAUUUUCUUGUUUCGCUGUGGUUCUUUGUAUUCCUUUUUCCUGAACUUUAGGAGGAAGGAAAGAAUAUUACAAAUGAAGUAUUACAUAUAUAUGCUCAAUCUUUUUCUAAGCAUCACUGCUAUGAGAGUGA